rnacentral:rRNA from 1 species
UACGUAGGGCGCAAGCGUUGUCCGGAAUUAUUGGGCGUAAAGAGCUCGUAGGCGGUCUGUUGCGUCCGCUGUGAAAACUCGGGGCUUAACCCCGAGCCUGCAGUGGAUACGGGCAGACUAGAGGUAGGUAGGGGAGAAUGGAAUUCCCGGUGUAGCGGUGAAAUGCGCAGAUAUCGGGAAGAACACCGGUGGCGAAGGCGGUUCUCUGGGCCUUACCUGACGCUGAGGAGCGAAAGCGUGGGGAGCGAACAGG